GGGGGUGAACCAGGUUCGACAUGGGUAGGAAGGGCAUCAUAAGCGAGCCGAGGUCCCCAACACCUCGAUAAACCUUGGGAACUUAAAUUAAUUGCAAACAAUAAGUGUAAUUUAGCCGCUGCUUAGCAGGCUAACGCCUCUUUAUUCUUCGCCUGUGAGAAUAGAUUAGGUGUCAACUUAGCAGGCUACUUAAUCAGUUUUACCUGGAACUGAUCAAGGAAUCUUACAGGUUAGUCAAUUACUCAUCUGGUUGCAGAGAGGUUUAAUUGAUGAAAUAUAAAGCUGCAGCUGCGCUCGGAGAAAAUGGUGUGAUUUCACUCAUGGACAGCGGUGCAAAUCCGCUCACCUCCACCA
rnacentral:tmRNA from 1 species